rnacentral:misc_RNA from 1 species
AAAAACACUAGUAAUAGACCCAGCCCUAAUAGCCCAAACACACAAAGGCCCUGAGACCCACAGAAGACAACUCGACUAACACAAUGGAUGAGGAAGCUAUGCAGUGCCAACGAGAGUAGGAUGGCCGUGCCGGGCUGAGAUAGACAGAUAAUUGUCGAGCAGAGUCCUUUAGAAAUUAGAGAACCAAACUGAUGAAGACGACAGAACUCGAGAGUGGCCAACAAAGGGUGAUGAGACAGUGCUUCAUAACUUCUCAAAGCCUUGAGGGUCACUUUCAGUGGCAGAUAUCUUAUCAAUUCUUUUGCGGAAAACUGCAUGAGAAUAGUUAAAAUUUCAUGUAAACAUUCAUUGGAAAUAAUGAUAGACUAAAUAUUGUAAAAGUUACAUUUUCAUAAGUCUCAAAGUAAAAUACAAAAUAAUUACAAACUCAAAAUAUGAUAGCGAUGCAAUGCUUUUAAAUAUAAACUGCUCAAUGUCUGUACAUCCAUACAUAUAAGUGCAAAAUACAUUAAAAUAAAAUUACAGGAGUAUACUUACAAUAUAUACCCACAAACAAUACCAAAAUGCUACUUCCAAGUCUCUAACUCGGCAGUCUUAUCCUUUCCCUUACUUGCGAUAGCAUAAAGAAGCUAUCGCUGAGUAUAUCACUCAGUGGUGCAUAACUAAUAACUUUAAAACUUAAGGUAAAACACAAUUUAUCAAAGCAUAAUAAAUCACAUUUUUCUUAAGUAUGAAAACUUCACAAUAAUUCUAAAUUCAUAAGAGCCAUUUAUUAGAAUAACAUUUCAAAUGAGAAGCGAUUCAGGACUCCACUCAUCCAUAAAAAUGAACAAACCUCUCACAGAUCAACUCAUCACGAGCAAAAGCAAGACCUCCAAAUCCCUCAUCAUGAAAACCAACCUGUAAGCACAAAAACUACAAACCUCACUCCGAAGUGGGGAGAGAGAGAAUUACCCAUGCCUUAGGCGAGGGGAGAAGAGCCACCCUUACUUGAAAAGGAUAGGGCAAACCGUAACAUCCAGCCAAAACAAAAAACUUAGCCUAAAAAGGAAGCGAGAAAUUUUUCUCUCUAAAAAAUCUAGAGAGAUAUUAUAAUUCUAGCAAUAAAAAAGAUCCCUUUUCUAUAUAAAUUGAAAUUAUGUUGUCUUGUAAUCUAAUCACCAAAGUACUUGAUAAAGUUGUGAUUCUAAUUAGUAUACAAAUAAUGGCAGUGAUCUAUUACUAUAUUACAAAUUACCAAUCUAACUGCUUAUGUACGAGGCCAAGAGCUACUCAUUUUCAUUCUUACGUUUCCGCUAAACAAUAACAAUAUCAUGGAGCAAUUUUUCUUACCAUCCUAAUGUAAACAUACAUGCAUAUAUGGAUCUGCAACUCCUUCGAAACCUUGACCCUACCAUCGGACCCUCUUCCAACAUAGAUUAAAGAUGACGAAGCCAAAAAGGAUCGCAUCCAACUUUUUGUCCAAAUUGAUGAUUAUGCCGUUUUGUUUUUAGAUUUCUAUAGUUAUAGCAUCGCAUCCAAAAAAUGCUAAGAUAACGCAUUAGCCUUCAGAAAAUAUUCCUCUUCCAUGGCCAAGAGAAAAAACGCCAAAUCCAGAAACUUGCAAUUCCCGCAAAGCGAUCUUUUUCUAACUCGCCAUAACAGCCAACGCAACAAUCCGACUCAUGCAUUCACAUUACACAAGCACUUUUUAACUCUUUACAAUCUAUUAUUCUGGAAAAUUGAAGGGCAUGAAAUGAAAGACCAAGUUCAAGAAAGAACCUCCUCUCCUCGACUCUGAUUUGCCGCUUUUAGUAAUUCCAAAAGGGUGAACUAGAAAAGCCCAAAAACAGGGGCAAAAAAAAAAGCAGCUAAAUAACCCAAAAAAUUAUAAUAUAGAAACAAGAACUCUUUUACAUACUUAACAUUGGAAAUUUUAGAAGAGAAUCUUGGAAGUGGGUGGUUUACAAACUGGAUGAGAGAGAAAAUCUGUCAGCUAUCCCAACAAAAGGCAAAAUUCAAGCAACCACCCAGAGCCUGCAAAUCUUUAACCAAUUCACAUUGAAACGGCAGGAGCCACAAGCCAGAUUAACCAGAAAGGUUCCUAUGCUACAAGCAAAGCAAACAAAUCAUGAGAAUGAUAGCCAUUAGUGCAGAUUUUAGAGCAGUAGGAGAGGCUGUCCUGUGUGAGUCCCCCAUGGCUAGACCAGCCAACCAUGAUCCAUCUGCUAGCAUGGUUUCUCCAGAACCAGAACCAGAUCCGGAUCCAGAUAACGACACAGAACCAGAAUCUGCACCUGAACCCGAAUACUCUAGCCCUGAUCCUGACCCUGACACUUCCCCUGGGUUGGUUGUUUCUGCUGUCAUUGGUGUUGAAUAGCUUGAAUAGCUUGAAGAUUUCUGACUUGGGGAAGACGGGCAAAACGACACCGUAUAAUCGGCGCCGGUGCAUGUGAAAGUACUGGUGGCAUCAUCAUAUGCGUAGCUAUACGAUUUAGGACAUGCAGCUUUAAACAUCUCCGAGUAAACUGACGGCUUACAUGUAGUGGGUGUGUUAAACGCGCCGCUGCAACAGUACUCGGGGCUCCCAAAGGCCUCGCACGCGCUCUUGCACGCAUCACCGUCACCCAUCCUUAGCUCUGCUGGGCACUGUCUGUUCAGAUCCGUGAAGCAACCCGUCGAAGCGCACAUACCCGACCCGCCACUCCCUUCAACUACCAUAGGGAGGUUGUAGCCGUCCACAAGACUGACAUCAUAGAAGUCCUGCCCACCCGUCCCAAGUGUGAACUCAGCCAGGGUAGCAGGCGGGGCGGCUCCAAGUCCGUUGCAUUCAACUUGGCCCGAACCACAGUCUCCAGUAAUACAGGAUCCGGAUCCAGAGUCGUCAAAAUUGCAGCCAGUUCGGGCCCAGAAGCGGCCGGACCAACCGGUUGGAGUUUGAAAAGAACGGGAAGUGUCCUUUGGGAGCUCGAAUCCGCUGCUUCGGGUCUAGGACUGCCGGCAUUGGCUAGAAUGCCGGGCCGGAUAGUGUAGUCGCAUCCCGUUAAGAACUUUGGCCAAUGCAAGUGAAAAUUGCGAAGAAAGAAGUCGGACACCCAUGAAAAACGUUUUCCUUAGACGAUUCCUAGAACAACAAUGGCAAAGCAACAGCAAGGAACACCAUAUUCAGGGCCCAUUAAGGAAAAAACAAAAAGGUUUCAAAUUUGCAAUUUGAAGAGAAAAGGUUGUAGAAAAUUGUAUGCGAGGAAGACCAGAAGUAAGAGGACAAGCAAAUAAUAGAGUGCGUCUGGUACAUUUACCUCUAGAAGUCAAAAGCAGAACAACAAGGAUGAGAAUAAGGAUGGAGGAGCAGCAAGAGAAGUGAUCCAUGUAGCUUUUUUUGCUGUUGUGCUUCCUUUUUUUUUGUGUUCUUCUUUCCUCGAUAGAAUGUAUUAUGUUGAGGGGGGUUUUGUGGUUAUGGCUACAUGUUGUGGUAAUGAUGGUGCUGGUGUACUAAGAUUGUAAUGGAGGAGAAGGGAGUGGGCAAUGCAGAGCCUGACGCCCUUGA